GUUAAGGUUAGGGUAGGGAGGUGCCAAGGAUCCCGGACAGCACUGACUCUAUCCACACGCUCAUUGUUGUUACAGAAUUCAACCCAAAUAAUCAAAGCCUGAAUCGAAAACAAUGGUUUUUGUAUUUAUUAUAAUGAACCGAAACCCAACCCUGUCCACACGCCCAGUACUUAACUUUUCAACACACCCUCUUGACCAUAGUCCGGUUUCGGUAUCGAGCUGCAGCUCCCUACUUCUCAAUGCGAACGUGAGUAGAUUACCUCGAAAACAACGGUCGGACAUCUAGGAAGCAGUCUCCAGUUUGUAUUAUACCUCGGUGGUGUAGAAGGAACAAAUAUCGACCGGAUCUUGAUCGGACGACGAGAACAACAACGUGUUAAAGGUGUAACCAAGGCUUCUGAGAACACAGAGAAACAUGGCUACAGUCUUCAUCUGUUCCGUCUGUACCGAAGUCUUCGUUGGACAUAUAUCGCUGAGCUGCAAGCACACCUUCUGUGAACGUUGCCUCCAGAAGUGUAUGGACGCUGGUUGCGUUAUCUGUCCGGUGUGCGGGGAUCCAAUCACGUCGGAGAACAUCAGAGUCAACAGAAUACUAAGGGACAUGGCAGACGAAGUGAGACAGAGAAGAGUUGAUCUCAGAGUAUUGAAGAGGAAUGAGGACUUUGUGAAUAACUGGGAAACCAACAAGAAGAAGGAGAAUGUGAAAACGUCAAAGUCCUUGGUGAAGGAAGGCCUGGCUGCCAGAAAGACAGAGAGGAAGUUAAAGUCAUCUCUGACCACUGGUCCCUGGGAGGGUAUAGUUUUUGGCAUUAUGGCCUUUUAUUGCUUUAUUUCUGUUCUUACUUAUGUUGUCCUUCCUUGUGUGGAAUAUGUGUCUGUAACAAUGUCAGGAAAUGCAGCCAAGGUGUUCGGAUCCCCUUUGGUGUUCAUGUCUAUGUUUGUUGUCUUCGGUGUUGUUGCUCAUUUAGUGGAUUUUGUGUUGAAAAAGAUUGACUUAAAAUCUGUUUUAUAUAGUAAUAACUGAUUGAUUGCUUUUAUGCAGUGUUGGAGAGUCAUUGGAUGUAGCGAACUUCCUUUCCCAGCAGGUUGGUGGUAGUUGAACAACUUUUUUGAAAUGAAUUAUAUUAUUGAGUUGACUUACAUCUGCAGGUUUAUGCCCAGUUUAUUGAUGCUAUGAUAAGUGCAGUAGAUUUUAGUUGUAAAAUGAAUGUUGUGAAGUAUGCUUUAAACUGCUAACUGAUUAUAUGGAAGGAAAAGGGCAAUGAGUUUUGAUGUAAAACUUUUUCCUGUAAAUAUUCAGCAUUAUAAUGGCACCAGAGUUUCCAGCUUAAAUACUGUAAUUUUGCUUUACAGCAGAGAUGCUGUAAUAUAUUUUACAGUAACCUCUUUUCCAUACUAUAAAACACAUUACAGAAUACAGCAUCCCUGCUUUAAAUUUACAGCUGUAAGGUUUUUACAGUAGUAGUAUUCAAUGUCGGGAUUCGUGUCCCCACAACUGCAGUGGGGUUGCCAACAAUAUUAUUUGAAAUGUUUUAUAUUAUUAUUUAGUGUUAUUAUUUUUAUUUAAACAAUAUAGAAACAUUUUUGAGAAAAAUGGGUUCCCUGCUGAAAAGGUUUAAAUACCAUUGUUUUACAGUAAGGAAAAUACUACUGUAAAAUAUAUUACAGCAUACCUGCUGUAAAGCAGAAUUACAGUAUUUAAGCUGGAAACUCUGGUGCCAUUACAAUGCUGAAUAUUUACAGUGAAAUUCUACCUGAAAUCUAAAUACAAAGAUAUAUAUACAAAUGUACAUAAAAUACAUGUAUUCAAAUAGCUGACAACAUUAGCUACAAAUGAACAAUAUAAUUGACAAUGGAAGUAACAACAGUUAUGACGUAUGUAACCAAAUAAGUGCAUCAUUACAACACUAAUUACAAAUUAUAUUGUGUGUGUGUGGGGGGAUUGAGAUCUAUUUAGGGUAAGGGGGUUCAGAGGCGGUGAAACGGGACAGUUUGGUCAGGAGAGCAUCCAGGACAGAGAGAAGUUAGCAUCAUGUGUUCCUCAUGGGGCUCCGUAAACAAACCUCCUUGCGUUCUGAUUGGUCAGCUCUUCUCAACCCUAGGACAAGCAUAGAAAGAGAAAGACUAGAAUGAGCACCAGGGCUGUUACUCUGUGGGUAAAUAGAGAGACAGACAUCACCAGGGGCUGUUACUCUGUGGGUAAAUAGACAGACAGACAGCACCAGGGGAUGUUACUCUGUGGGUAAAUAGACAGACAGACAGCACCAGGGGAUGUUACUCUGUGGGUAAAUAGACAGACAGACAGCACCAGGGGAUGUUACUCUGUGGGUAAAUAGACAGACAGACAGCACCAGGGGGCUGUUACUCUGUGGGUAAAUAGAGAGACAGCACCAGGGGGCUGUUACUCUGUGGGUAAAUAGAGAGACAGCACCAGGGGGCUGUUACUCUGUGGGUAAAUAGAGAGACAGACAGCAACAGGGGCUGUUACUCUGGGGGUAAAUAGACAGACAGCAACAGGGGCUGUUACUCUGUGGGUAAAUAGACAGAGGACAAGGGACAUAUGAAGCUGGUGUUGUGUGUACAUACUUAACUACAAAUCUACAGUAGGCAUAAGCUAUUACUGUAAAUAAAUUAUACAGAAUGUUGGGAGGAUUUCCUCCAGGAGGCUUCCAAUUACAGUAAAUAACAGUAUUUUUUUCAGCAUUUUACCCAUAAUGCAGUGCAAUCUAUAACAUUAUUGCUUUAAGACACAUAUGGUAUUUUACUGUGCCUUCUACCAUGUUUUAAUGCUGACAUGACAGUCUUACACUACAUAGCUUUUCUCCAUUUGAGAAGACACUACCCUAUUUGUAUUGAAAUGUAAUAAAAAUAUAAUUCCAUUCUGAUGUUUUUUGUUUCUCCUUCACUAAUACCCCUUUUCCUUCACUACUUAAAUGUUAAUUGUUCUUGUGUUUGUAACAGAGGGACCCUUUAAAACAAAAAAACUUUAUUGUCACAACCUGCUGAGGUGGUUGUUCAUCUCUUCAAAGAAGCUCCCGGUCUGAGGCACCGCAUCUCAGUGCAAAAAGGCGUCACUACAGUCCCUGGUUUGAAUCCAGGCUGUAUCACAUCCGGCUGUGAAUGGGAGUCCCAUAGGGCAUCGAACAAUUGGCCCAGCGUGGUCCGGGUUUGGCCGGGGGGGUUUAGGCCGUCACUGUAAAUACGAAUAUGUUCUUAACUGACUUGCCAGGUUAAAUAAAGGUUAUAAAAUAACAUUUUAGAAAGGAGGUGUUUAACCAAUCCUAUAACCAUCUGUUACAGUGCAAUACUUCCAAUCAAAUAUAUGAGUUCUGGUUUACCAUAUACAGUACUUCACAGUUAGUCCAGUUUAACCAGGUUAGUCUAGUUUAACCAGGUUAGUCUAGUUUAACCAGGUUAGUCCAGUUUAACCAGGUUAGUCCAGUUUAACCAGGUUAGUCCAGUUUAACCAGAGGGGGAAAAUCUGAAUAGAAAACUACUGUUUGCCAAUUAUAAAGUACGGUGUCAUCAUUCCGGACAUCGCCAGAGAAAGAAACCUGAUUUGUGGACACGGUGGACCUCUGAAGAUAUCCUACAGAUCACCAUGUUGGUGAAUGAUCUGCCCCCCUCACUGCUGCAGUCAGCUGCAGAGGAGGAGAAUGUAAUGAGGUUCUUCAGCCCGAGGAGGGUGAUGACGAGCAGCGUCAGCAGGAACACCAGCAGGCUCCACGGCUGCCAUGGAAACGGAGGUGAGGGAGAACUUCAGGAAGGUUCCGUUGGCAGGGGAGAUUCCGGGUCCGUUGAGCUCGUCCAAUGGGAUGUCCAUCCCUGACAUCCUGACGAUCGGAUUAGACGGAUCUGAGGGAGAGGAGAAAUAGGGUGUUACCGUAAGGUGAAUUCAACACCUGGUAUGUGGAAACCAAAAGAUUUAGUUUUUAAAGCAAGAACAUAAUUAAAUGCUAACCUUGCAUUUUUUUUGUGUGCAAAUAUUCAGGAUCAUCUUUUUGCGAACCUUGUAGUUAUUGCAUUGCGUACUGCAUGGGGUAUAUUUUUAGGCUUUCCUAUAUCCCAAAAUAUUCCCAGGAUAUUCCGGAUUCCCACGAAUCAAUCCCGUACAAAUCCUCAAAUUGUCAAACGCUAAAAUACCAACAUUGCAGGAUUAACAGUUCUACUGGGCCUAUCCAAUGGCAGCUCUGUUAUUUUAGGUCAGUUCUACUGGGCCUAUCCAAUGGCAGCUCUGUU
ensembl:lncRNA